AGACUGCAGCACAUUGUGGGAUAAUGUGUUCAAAAAUGGACCUUGAAACCCGUGAAGGUGGUGGUUGCCAGCAGGUUUCAAUUCUCAUGGUCACAUCUGACAGAGAAAAGGAACAGUAUGAGAAAUUUAUGAACAUACUUAAGAAUCUUUCAAAUUGUACUGAUAUAUCUCAGGUCGUGGCAGAUGCUAAAAAAAUCUAUGAUUCCAGGGAAUUUUGUUAUGUGCCUGCCCUUCUCACUCUGUUCAAGAAGUUGCCUUCUGUUCAUAAAUGGCCUGAAAAUGAAAACUGUAAUGAGGUGCUAAGUGCUGCCUUCUUUGUGUGCCAGCUCUUAUUUUUUCAUAACUUCCCAGCCUCACCAGCUUUUACAGUGGAUGAAAUGUUUGCAACAGUGGCUGCUAGAUUGAAGGAUCUGAUAGAAUAUUCAUGUGACUGUGAGAACUGUGAAUUGUUGGCUGAAUCCCUGACAAAUUAUAAGUUUUCCCUGGUACCUAUAAAGAUCAGGCCACACACCGAUACCUGUGUCUCACUGAAAACACUCCAGCGGCUACGGACUGCCAUGUUAGGCAAUCCUGAAACCCUGAGUAUUUGGACCCUUGAUGACCUGGUGGAGGACCCAGUAGUCUUCAAAGGCUAUGAAAGCGCAAUUAGGAGAGAAUUUGCUGAGCAUGUCACAUGUUUGAACAUGUGCUGGGUUGUGAAGAUAAUCUUGGACUGCAUGUCUCAGCCAACAGCUCUGCUUCGGGAUUGUAUUCAGAAGGGUGCAAAGAAUAAUGGACUCCAGCUGGACACUUCGAGUACCUGGACGUGGCCAGCAGCACGUAUUGCUGAAAAGGAAGUCAUAGAACAUACCAUGAGUGUUUGUGUACAGGAUAUGACUAGAAGUCAUGAUCAGGAAUUCUACACAGAGGCCUUUAAGGAAGAUCUCCAUAUAGGAUUAAAGAGACUAGUUGCCAUGGUCCUUGGGCAGAAUCAUAGUUGGUUAGAUGGCUUUCUGACAGACACUAUAGUGACAGGUAAAGCAUAGCCUGGGGCAUAGUUCUUUGAUGAAUCAUCAUAAAUAUGAUGGCUAAUGUGGUCCUUUUGUGUAUUAAUGCAGAUAUGUUUAUGUAUCCAGGUGUGUUGCUUGAAAGGUAUUUUGCUGUACUAACCCAACACCACCUAUUUAUCAUGUUUGGAAGCCUAUUAAAAACUGUGCUAUUGACUCUGGCGUUUGUGUCUUUGUCUACUUGUGACUCAAAAAUUUUACCCAAGCAUUGUUGCCAUAUUUCUGCAACCCCUACUGAGAAAAAAUCCUGGAACUUCCUGUCCUCCAUAACUGAGAUAUAUCUUAGUAGUCCAUCUUCGUGUGGGAAUAUCAAUGUGGCCCAGGUGAAAGUGAAAACCAAGACAGGAUACCACUUAGAAUGUGCAAAUGGUUUUGGACUCAUGGGCUUUCUUGAAGCCGUGGUCAGCAGGUUUAGAGACCCCACCCCCGAUGACGUUGAGUUCCUUAAACAACUUAAAUUGUUGCACGAUCAGUUUGAUGAGGUAUUUUCAGCAAGCACUGCCAACAGCUCCUCCUUUAAGGUCGCCGCCUGGUAACCAUGGACACUUGGCUAAAAACGCAUGUGUGGUCCCUGAAUGUUAUGCAGAGAGACUCAGUAAUGGAUUUUCUACCUCAAUCCUGGAUAGACUACUUACAACUCUCCGCGUUUUCAUCCAAGAAGCUUGAGCAGAUUAUGGCUGCAGUAGAAAACAGAAGAAAACAAAAUAUUGUCUAUCCUGAUAGUGAGGAUGUGAUGCGCUGGGCAUUUUCCUGCCCUCCUGAAAAUGUUAGGGUUGUUAUUCUGGGACAGGAUCCCUAUCAUGGGGGCCAGGCCAAUGGUUUGGCCUUUAGUGUUCAUGAAAACUUUCCAGUCCCACCGAGCUUACACAACAUUUUCCAAGAACUUAAAAGGUCAGUGCCUGAUUUUCAAAUUCCCCCUUCUGGCUGUCUUGAUAAGUGGGCAGAACAGGGAGUUCUUCUGCUUAACUGCAUCCUGACUGUAGAUAAGGGACGGCCUGGUUCUCACCACAAACUUGGAUGGGGAUGGUUCACAGACUAUGUCAUUUCUACAAUCUCUGAAAAGAAUGAUAAGUGUGUUUUUAUGCUGUGGGGAAACAAGGCAAUAGAAAAGGAAGUUCUGAUCAAUGGCAGUAAGCAUCUUGUAUUAAAGGCGCAACAUCCUUCCCCCCUGGCAUCUCUUGGUGGCUACUCAUCAAAACAGGCCCCGUUUUUGGGCUGUAACCACUUUUCAAUUGCCAACACAUAUUUAACGCAGCACAACAAACCCUCAAUUUCUUGGAACUUAUAAUGGACCCCUUUAAGAAACCAGUGAGAAUGUUGCCCAUAAAGGGGGCCCCGAUCUCUCGACCAAUAAGUGUUUUUACAUUUGACGUGUUUAACCCCCCGGACGAUUCCGAUGGGUCAUCAACUCCAGACUCAGUGUUUGAGGCGGAGACCAGCCCAGCAAGAACUCCUCCAACUCCCGCCUUGAUUCUACCCUAUGAUUAUGUGAGCAGUGAAGACUCUGAUGAUGAAGCACAAGAACAUGCGGAUAACCGGGACACUAAUGACCAGGUCAGCGAGUCAAGUACAAGUGAGGACUCUGAUUCAGAGUCUGAAAGUUCAUGUGACGAUACCCAGCAGACUUUCGUGGACGAUGAGUCCACCAGCUCUUCUGGCGAGGAAGACAGAGAUGAUCCUUUUGAGUCAAAUGACCAGGGCGCGCAGGGCGGGUCGACCUCUGAGUCUGAGGAUGACCUCCCUGCAAUACUGAGGGCUGCACGCGAGACACAAAGUGACAGCUCUAGUGACAGUUCCGGCAACUCCCAUAAAAAAAGGCGAGUGCAGGAAGAAGAAAGUAGUCGCAUCUUGAAAACCCCAGCCCCCAUUUCUGGUAAUGGAAAAUAUAACUGGCCAUGGUUGGAUUGAAACUUUAUUCAAUAAAAAUUAAUAUACAAGUA
rnacentral:tmRNA from 1 species